rnacentral:rRNA from 1 species
GCCGGGAACCCACGCGGGACCGCCGCCGUCAAGGCGGAGGAGGGCGGGGACGACGUCAAGUCAUCAUGCCCCUUAUGCCCUGGGCUGCACACGUGCUACAAUGGCCGGUACAGAGGGAUGCCACCCCGCGAGGGGGAGCGGAUCCCGGAAAGCCGGCCCCAGUUCGGAUUGGGGGCUGCAACCCGCCCCCAUGAAGUCGGAGUUGCUAGUAAUCGCGGAUCAGCAUGCCGCGGUGAAUGCGUUCCCGGGCCUUGUACACACCGCCCGUCACACCACCCGAGUCGUCUGCACCCGAAGUCGCCGGCCCAACCGAGAGGGGGGAGGCGCCGAAGGUGUGGAGGGUGAGGGGGGUGAAGUCGUAACAAGGUAGCCGUACCGGAAGGUGCGGCUGGAUCACCUCCUUUCUAGGGAGA